rnacentral:rRNA from 1 species
UGCCAGCAGCCGCGGUAAACGUAGGGGGCGAGCGUUAAUCGGAAUUACUGGGCGUAAAGCGCGCGUAGGCGGAACGUUAAGUUGGAUGUGAAAGCCCCGGGCUCAACCUGGGAACUGCAUUCAAAACUGGCGUUCUUGAGUUCAAGAGAGGGUGGUGGAAUUCCUGGUGUAGAGGUGAAAUUCGUUGAUAUCAGGAGGAACACCGGCGGCGAAGGCGGCCACCUGGCUUGAUACUGACGCUGAGGUGCGAAAGUGUGGGGAGCAAACAGGAUUAGAUA